UCUCAGUUCGGAUUGUAGUCUGCAACUCGACUACAUGAAGCUGGAAUCGCUAGUAAUCGCGAAUUAGAAUGUCGCGGUGAAUACGUUCCCGGGUCUUGUACACACCGCCCGUCACACCAUGGGAGUCGGAAAUGCCCGAAGUCGGUGACCGAACCGAAAGGAAGGAGCCGCCGAAGGCAGGUCUGGUGACUGGGGUGAAGUCGUAACAAGGUACC
rnacentral:rRNA from 1 species